rnacentral:rRNA from 1 species
GCUAUCAUGCAGUCGAACGCACAGCGAAAGGUGCUUGCACCUUUCAAGUGAGUGGCGAACGGGUGAGUAACACGUGGACAACCUGCCUCAAGGCUGGGCAAAACAUUUGGAAACAGAUGCUAAUACCGAAUAAAACUUAGUGUCGCAUGACACAAAGUUAAAAGGCGCUUCGGCGUCACCUAGAGAUGGAUCCGCGGUGCAUUAGUUAGUUGGUGGGGUAAAGGCCUACCAAGACAAUGAUGCAUAGCCGAGUUGAGAGACUGAUCGGCCACAUUGGGACUGAGACACGGCCCAAACUCCUACGGGAGGCUGCAGUAGGGAAUCUUCCACAAUGGGCGAAAGCCUGAUGGAGCAACGCCGCGUGUGUGAUGAAGGCUUUCGGGUCGUAAAGCACUGUUGUAUGGGAAGAACAGCUAGAAUAGGAAAUGAUUUUAGUUUGACGGUACCAUACCAGAAAGGGACGGCUAAAUACGUGCCAGCAGCCGCGGUAAUACGUAUGUCCCGAGCGUUAUCCGGAUUUAUUCGGCGUAAAGCGAGCGCAGACGGUUUAUUAAGUCUGAUGUGAAAGCCCGGAGCUCAACUCCGGAAUGGCAUUGGAAACUGGUUAACUUGAGUGCAGUAGAGGUAAGUGGAACUCCAUGUGUAGCGGUGGAAUGCGUAGAUAUAUGGAAGAACACCAGUGGCGGAGGCGGCUUACUGGACUGCAACUGACGUUGAGGCUCGAAAGUGUGGGUAGCAAACAGGAUUAGAUACCCUGGUAGUCCACACCGUAAACGAUGAACACUAGGUGUUAGGAGGUUUCCGCCUCUUAGUGCCGAAGCUAACGCAUUAAGUGUUCCGCCUGGGGAGUACGACCGCAAGGUUGAAACUCAAAGGAAUUGACGGGGACCCGCACAAGCGGUGGAGCAUGUGGUUUAAUUCGAAGCAACGCGAAGAACCUUACCAGGUCUUGACAUCCUUUAAGCUUUUAGAGAUAGAAGUGUUCUCUUCGGAGACAAGUGACAGUGGUGCAUGGUCGUCGUCAGCUCGUGUCGUGAGAUGUUGGGUUA